AUUGAACGCUGGCGGCAGGCCUAACACAUGCAAGUCGAGCGGAUGAAGGGAGCUUGCUCCUGGAUUCAGCGGCGGACGGGUGAGUAAUGCCUAGGAAUCUGCCUGGCAGUGGGGGAUAACGUCCGGAAACGGGCGCUAAUACCGCAUACGUCCUGAGGGAGAAAGUGGGGGAUCUUUGGACCUCACGCUAUCAGAUGAGCCUAGGUCGGAUUUGCUAGUUGGUGGGGUAAAGGCCUACCAAGGCGGCGAUCCGUAACUGGUCUGAGAGGAUGAUCAGUCACACUGGAACGGAGACACGGUCCAGACGCCUACGGGAGGCAGCAGUGGGGAAUAUUGGACAAUGGGCGAAAGCCUGAUCCAGCCAUGCCGCGUGUGUGAAGAAGGUCUUCGGAUUGUAAAGCACUUUAAGUUGGGAGGAAGGGCAGUAAGUUAAUACCUUGCUGUUUUGACGUUACCAACAGAAUAAGCACCGGCUAACUUCGUG
rnacentral:rRNA from 1 species